CCAUUUAAAGUGGUACGCGAGCUGGGUUUAGAACGUCGUGAGACAGUUCGGUCCCUAUCUGCCGUGGGCGCUGGAGAACUGAGGGGGGCUGCUCCUAGUACGAGAGGACCGGAGUGGACGCAUCACUGGUGUUCGGGUUGUCAUGCCAAUGGCACUGCCCGGUAGCUAAAUGCGGAAGAGAUAAGUGCUGAAAGCAUCUAAGCACGAAACUUGCCCCGAGAUGAGUUCUCCCUGACCCUUUAAGGGUCCUGAAGGAACGUUGAAGACGACGACGUUGAUAGGCCGGGUGUGUAAGCGCAGCGAUGC
rnacentral:rRNA from 1 species